UUAUUCAUUGCGGUCCAGUGGUGCUGACCCCUGUGAUUUUCCCAAAUGUGGAAAACUCGACUACAUAAUUUGUGGUGGAGGGGGACUGUGUCUUGCUCUUCCCUG
rnacentral:snRNA from 1 species